UACGAAGGGGGCUAGCGUUGCUCGGAAUCACUGGGCGUAAAGGUGCGUAGGCGGGUCUUUAAGUCAGGGGUGAAAUCCUGGAGCUCAACUCCAGAACUGCCUUUGAUACUGAGGAUCUUGAGUUCGGGAGAGGUGAGUGGAACUGCGAGUGUAGAGGUGAAAUUCGUAGAUAUUCGCAAGAACACCAGUGGCGAAGGCGGCUCACUGGCCCGAUACUGACGCUGAGGCACGAAAGCGUGGGGGAGCGAACAGG
rnacentral:rRNA from 1 species